AGAGUUUGAUCCUGGCUCAGGAUGAACGUUGGCGGCGUGCCUAAUACAUGCAAGUCGAGCGAGAAGCUUUGAUUUCGGUUGAAGCGGAGAGUGGCGCACGGGUGAGUAACACAUGGCUGACCUGCCCUUCAGAGGGGGACAACCACUAGAAAUGGUGGCUAAUACCCCAUAUGCUCACGGAGUUUAGAAAUUUGUGAGGAAAAGCUGAGGCGCUGAAGGAGGGGGCUGUGGUCCAUCAGCUAGUUGGUGUGGUAAAGGCGCACCAAGGCGAAGACGGAUAGGGGGCCUGAGAGGGUGACCCCCCACAUGGGCACUGAGACACGGGCCCAACUCCUACGGGAGGCAGCAGUAAGGGAUAUUGCGACAAUGGACGAAAGUCUGACGCAGCAACGCCGCGUGUGGGAUGAAGGCCUUCGGGUUGUAAACCACUUUUCUGUGGGAAGAGGAAGGACGGUACCACAGGAAUAAGUCUCGGCUAACUACGUGCCAGCAGCCGCGGUAAAACGUAGGAGGCGAACGUUAUCCGGAUUUACUGGGUGUAAAGCGCGUGCAGGCGGAUGCGUAAGUCGUGCGUGAAAGCGCCCAGGCUCAACCGGGCGAGGACGUGCGAAACUGCGUGACUAGAGGUAGGUAGAGGCGUGUGGAAUUCCGGGUGUAGUGGUGAAAUGCGUAGAUAUCCGGAGGAACACCAGUGGCGAAGGCGACGCGCUGGACCUAACCUGACGCUAAGACGCGAAAGCAUGGGUAGCGAACGGGAUUAGAAACCCCGGUAGUCCAUGCCGUAAACGAUGCAUACUAGAUGUUGCGGUGAUGAGCUGCAGUGUCGAAGCAAACGUGAUAAGUAUGCCACCUGGGGACUACGGCCGCAAGGUUAAAACUCAAAGGAAUUGACGGGGGCCCGCACAAGCAGCGGAGCGUGUGGUUUAAUUCGAGCUACACGAAGAACCUUACCUGGGCUUGACAUAUAAGUGGUAGGGAAGCGAAAGCGGACCGACCUUCGGGAGCUUAUACAGGUGCUGCAUGGCUGUCGUCAGCUCGUGUCGUGAGAUGUCCGGUUAAGUCCGGUAACGAGCGCAACCCUCGCCGUUAGUUACAAGUGUCUAACGGGACUGCCCGUUGAACGCGGGAGGAAGGUGGGGAUGACGUCAAGUCAGCAUGGCCUUUAUGUCCAGGGCUACACACACGCUACAAUGGCCGGUACAAUGGGUCGCCAACCCGCGAGGGGGAGCAAAUCCAACAAAGCCGGUCUCAGUUCAGAUUGCAGGCUGAAACUCGCCUGCAUGAAGUCGGAGUUGCUAGUAACCGCAGGUCAGCUAUACUGCGGUGAAUACGUUCCCGGGCCUUGUACACACCGCCCGUCACC
rnacentral:rRNA from 1 species